rnacentral:rRNA from 1 species
GUAGGUCACGAGCGUUGUCCGGAAUUACUGGGUGUAAAGGGAGCGCAGGCGGGUAUGCAAGUUGGGAGUGAAAUACAUGGGCUCAACCCAUGAACUGCUCUCAAAACUGUGUAUCUUGAGUAGUGCAGAGGUAGGCGGAAUUCCCGGUGUAGCGGUGGAAUGCGUAGAUAUCGGGAGGAACACCAGUGGCGAAGGCGGCCUACUGGGCACCAACUGACGCUGAGGCUCGAAAGUGUGGGUAGCAAACAGGAUUAGAUACCCUGGUAGUCCACACCGUAAACGAUGAUUACUAGGUGUUGGAGGAUAGACCCCUUCAGUGCCGCAGUUAACACAAUAAGUAAUCCACCUGGGG